rnacentral:lncRNA from 1 species
CAAUACAUUGUAAUAGUGAAGCUACAUUAUCUAGAGCCCAUAGUCAAAUUUAUAAUAAAAAAUCAAGACAUACAGACUUAAGGCAGUUAUGUUAGACAACUUAUCACAGAUGGUAUUAUCACUAUAGAUUUUAUGAGAUCCAGUCAGAAUUUAGUGGAGCCACUUACAAAAGAACUUACAAAGAUGCAAUUCUUCAAGACUGCACAAG